GCGUGAAGCUCGUCCAUUCCUACCUUUGUGGAGAGGUGAUAAAAUCUAAAACCGGGUAUAGAAAGUACUGAAUUCUAUUAAAAUGAUUAGGAAUAAUAUAGUCCAUAUGGAUAGAGUUUUUAUUCUGGAUUAGAGCAGUACAUUAUUGUUCAUUUGAAUAGAAAAUUAAUACAUACCACCCUAUAUUCAUGUACUUAAGUGACUAAGUCAUCAGGAAUACCAAGACUGCCCCAUGUCAAGCUGCCUAUGUGACUAAUACUCAGAUUUUUCUUCUGUUUGAGGUGUUUUCUUAUGACCUUCAGCAUAAUACGAAAGGAAGCGAACCCCGUUCCAAAGAACGUAUGCCUCGAGCCGAUUACACAUCGUGCUGGGUCCAUGUUAACCACAGUGAGUAACAGUCGAAGUUCUUGUUUUGGGCAAUUUGCUUCAAAAUACUCCUGUCAUUAUUAAAAACUGUUAAAUCUAAUACUUUAACUGUGGCCCAAGAUGAAAGUAAUAUGAAAAAUCAUGCUGAUUCCUGGAUCAUGAAGAACAGUGGGUCUAGCUAAUCAAAGAUUAAAGUAUGUUAGGAAUGCAGGUAUCUUAUUCUUGGGGUGCGAUUCGUGUUUCAUUUUAUUAUCAAUGAUUAAUAAAAUGAAUGAUGAAAAAGGUUCACACAUGCAUCAGUGAUGACCACCGGUAGCAAGUGAGGCAUGCAAGAAUUCGUGUCUGGAACUCUGAGGUCCAAGAAAAAAAGAAUCUAGGUUUUGCCUCUCUUAGAAAUGUCAGGAAUAUCUCAAUCUUGUCUUCAUCUGCUUGGCUUUGUACUUCACAGCAUGCUCACCACCCCCCUCUGCUGAUCUAAGCACUGGAGAGCUUCACAGUUGCCCUUGCAUGCAGAAGCAUGGAGACGGAUUUUGUCACGCCAAGGUUUUUUGCUUCUGUUCAUUUAUUUAGGGAAUCACAGACUAUUGUCUUAAAGAGUAGUAUAAAUACAGUCAACCUGGGUCAUCCAGGACCCAGAGAGAAGUAAGAGUUUGA
rnacentral:lncRNA from 1 species